AACAAGACAUUGAUAAAUAGCAGUAAUUAGGUACAGUAUUUAUUUAUUUUAUGUUUUUUUUUUUUCAGUGUUUAUUGUCAGUAAGCCCUGGAGAAUUUAGCUUGCGUUAGAUUCAGUUUUACUGACAUUUUUCCCCAUAUUUAGUUGUGAAUGAGGAAAAUUGUACUCAUUUGCAAAAUCCUUGUUAUUUGUUUCCUACCGUCAUUUAAAAAUAAUCAGACUUGGACUGUUUUAACCGUAAGGUUAGUUUGUGAUAAGAACAAAAAAUUCAUGAAUACUGGAAGUAAUAUGGAAAUCUCAUGGAAGGCAAUGUUAAAAAAUGUCCACAAAUCAGCAUUUAUAGUAACAUUGGUAUAGUGCAGUAGUUUUAGUUUGUUUCCUUUUAGAAAAGCUGCAGGAACCAAGAAAGGAAACAUAGUGGUUUUAUUUGUUAUGCCCCUAUUAUUUGAAGAUUUUCUUUUUCCUUAAUAGAGGCUACUUCCUCUCAAUAUUCAAAAGUUAUACUCUGGUCAACAUUUUUGCUAAUGUAAAAUAUGUCUCUUUACCCAUUGCUGAAUUUGAAAGGAUGUUGAAUUUCCAAUCACUGAAAAAAAGAAAAAAGCAAACGCACUUCAGCAACAUCAAAACAUUUCUGCUUCUCAUAGUAAAAUCUAAGUGUUUUUGUAGAUUAUAAAGAAAAUAUUUCUUAGCAAUGAAAUUACUGUUAAAACAAUUUCAGUCAGAUACUUUUGUGAAUAGAAAAUGUCUGUAGUAGAUAAGUAGAAAAAUAUAAAAUGUCUGUUCACAUGUUUUAUUUUUAGAACUGAAUGGAGAAAUGCCAAAGAGGAAGACUUCACUGCAUUAUAAAUAUAUUCAAGUGUUCUUUUGAACUUUAUAAAAAUUUUUACUAGACUUAAAAAUUGAAAAAGAUCUUUGUGCAAAGGUCUUUUAAGAGAAAAGUGUUCAAUUUAUCAAAAUCUCUAUAUAUAGUACCAGCUUUAACUAAAGCAUUUUAAGAUUUUUUUUUUUAAAGUUCGAAUUUCUCCGAUAUAUGAGAUAGUUCAGGACAGUCUGUUAAGAGUUCUUAGAGGAAACGAUUUGCAAGACAGAAUGGCUAAUCUCAUACUCUAAAAUUGGAAUUUAAAAAAUUUGAUUGUGUCUGAAAAAUAGAAUGGCAGUGUUGGAAUUUGGAGCCAAUAGUUGAGCAUAUUCUCUAGAAUAAUACACUUUAAAAAAAAUUGUGUCUGUCUUCAAUCAUAUUUAGGAGGCUAUGUAUAAAUAGUCUUGAAGUCAAUGUAGUUUAUUUAAAAGGUAAAAAUGCAUUCUGAAAGGGAUCAUUUAUAUAUAAUAAUCUGAAGACAUUUUCCAUAAAACUAUAUUUUGGUUGGUUGUACAUCUUGCUAGUGUUUUUUGAAGUACAUAACUUUUAAAAUAUUAACUGUCUUCUAUGAUUAGAAUAUGUGAAUGAAUGUUUGGUGUCAGGAAUGUUUCGGUACCACUGUUCUCACGGGAACCACUGAUGUAUCGGCAGAUACUAUUGUGUAUGACGUGUUCUGAAGAUCAUAGUUGCUGUGCGUAACAUUGUGCCUCUUAACUUUGUGUGCACACAGGUGGUUUACAUUUUAAUGUAAAUAAAUGCCACUUUGCAGUUUGUUUUUU
rnacentral:lncRNA from 1 species